rnacentral:rRNA from 1 species
UUAAAUUGAAGAGUUUGAUCAUGGCUCAGAUUGAACGCUGGCGGCAGGCCUAACACAUGCAAGUCGAACGGUAACAGGAAGCAGCUUGCUGCUUUGCUGACGAGUGGCGGACGGGUGAGUAAUGUCUGGGAAACUGCCUGAUGGAGGGGGAUAACUACUGGAAACGGUAGCUAAUACCGCAUAACGUCGCAAGACCAAAGAGGGGGACCUUCGGGCCUCUUGCCAUCGGAUGUGCCCAGAUGGGAUUAGCUAGUAGGUGGGGUAACGGCUCACCUAGGCGACGAUC